GCCGGUAAUAAACCGGAGGAAGGUGGGGAGUGACGUCAAAUCAUCAUGCCCCUUAUGACCUGGGCUACACACGUGCUACAAUGGUUGGUACAACGAGUCGCGAGUCGGUGACGGCAAGCAAAUCUCUUAAAGCCAAUCUCAGUUCGGAUUGUAGGCUGCAACUCGCCUACAUGAAGUCGGAAUCGCUAGUAAUCGCGGAUCAGCACGCCGCGGUCGAAUACGUUCCGGCCUU
rnacentral:rRNA from 1 species